AAUUAAUAUUUUACUUAAGUUUUGGGUUUAAUUUUAUUAAUUUGAUAAAAAUAUUUUUAUAAAAUUUUUGUUUUUGUAUAUUUAAAAGAUAUAAUAAUUUUAAGUGAUAGUAUAUUAGUAUUGUAAAAGAAAAAUUUAAAUUAAAUAUAAGUAAAUUUAAUUAAUUGUACCUUGUGUAUCAGGGUUUAUUUAUAAAAAAAUAAUUAUUUAUUUUUCUCGAAAUUAAAAGGGUAAAUAUAAUAUUUAAUAUACUGUAAUAAAAUUAUUUAUAAUAUUAUAUUAGUAAUGAAAUGUUAAUCGUUUUUAAUGAUAUCUAGUUUUUUUAGAAAUAAAUUUAAUUUAUAAAGUUUAUAUUUAUUAUUAUUAAUUAAUAAUAAUAAUAUUAUUAACUUUAAAUAUUUUUAGGGAUAAGCUUAAAAAUAUUUAUUAUAACUAUUAUGCUUAUUUAGUAAAUUUAUAGGGUUAGAAAUAUCCAUUAAUAAAAAAUGUUAUAAUUUAUUUAUUAUAAAAGAUUUUUUUAAUUAGUUUAAUUAUAUAUAAAAAAUAUAUUUUUAAUUAAUAAAAUUAUGUUAUAAUGAUAAAAUUAGUAUAAAUUUAUAUAAAAAUAUAUUUAUUUGUAAGGUUAUUAUAAGGAAUUCGGCAAAUAUAAUAUUCACCUGUUUAACAAAAACAUGUCUUUUUGAUAAUAAUUUAAAGUCUAAUCUGCCCAUUGAAAAAUUUUAAAAGGCCGCGGUAUUUUGACUGUGCAAAGGUAGCAUAAUCAGUAGUUUCUUAAUUAGAAGCUAGAAUGAAUGAUUGAAUGAAAUAUUAACUGUCUUAUUAUAAAUGUUAUAGAAUUUAAUUUUUAAGUUAAAAAGCUUAAAUUAUUUUGAAGGACGAGAAGACCCUUUAAAGCUUUAUAUUAAAAUUUAUAUAAAUAAAUAAGAAUAAUAUUUUUGUAUAAAUGAAAAUAUUUUAUUGGGGUGAUAGGAAAAUUUAUAUAACUUUUUUUAUAUAAUAACAUAAAUUAAUGAUUUAUUGAUCCAUAAAUUGUGAUUAAAAGAUUAAGUUACUUAAGGGAUAACAGCGUAAUAUUUUUUAAGAGAACAUAUCGACAAAAAAGAUUGCGACCUCGAUGUUGGAUUAAGAUAAUUUUUAGGUGUAGCAGUUUAAAAAUUUGGUCUGUUCGACCAUUGAUUCUUACAUGAUCUGAGUUCAGACCGGCGUAAGCCAGGUUGGUUUCUAUCCUCAAAAAUAUAAAAUUAAUUAGUACGAAAGGACCAUUAAUUUAUAAUAUUUAUAUUUUAUUAGAAUAAAAUUAAU
rnacentral:rRNA from 1 species